AUGAGAACGGGCCUGGUCCCAGCAGGGGAAGCUCGUCCCCUCCCCGGUCCCUGCUCCCGGGGGAACGUCUCCGUCGAUUUGGGAAGCGUGUUGCGUUGCCGCGUUGCACGGAGACACGCGCACACUGCAACCCGUAGCAACAAGGAUGCUACAUGGCAACCGCGGUCUCAGCCAUCCUGUUGUGUCAUGAAGAGGGAGAGAGACGGUCCCCCCCCCCCCCCCCCCCCUUGGCUGCAUCGAUCUUUUUAUGGUUAUGAUUAUUUUUCCCAGACAAAACAAGUAUCGGGGAGGGGCCGUGCUGGCUCUGUGUGGGAUCUGGCAACCUUCCUUCACCUCGCGUUGAAGCUUGGUGGCUUUCAAAGGCCAGCCCAGAUGCGGCUGCUGGCGGGGGGACGUCAGGAGGUGGUUGCAUGGGGGGAGCAGAGAGGAAAGAUGGGAUGGAGGCAGAGCGGGAUGAAGCUAAGCACUGGCACAGUGCAGGGGAAGGAGAGGAGAGGAAGGGGCUCGUUGCGUUGGGAACGCGGGCUGCAGGGAGGCGUGCGGCCCUGCAGGAGACACGGUGGUCCGAGUAGAGCCCUCGCCCCAGCCCUGGCCGUGGUUCGCAAGCGGUGCCUGCCCCGUCCCCGCGCUACCCUGUGGCCGAGGAUCUCUAGUCCUUGGACAGGAGCUGUGGGACAGCACCGCAAAACGGGCACGGUUUUGCGCCCAGCGCGAGACAGCUGGAGAUUUGGGGACCCAAAGCCCUUGAGGUCUCCUGGUUGCUGUUCCCGGGUCUGGAGCUCGCUGGCUGUGAUGGCGAGCAGCGGGGACAGAGCCGGUCCGUGUGCCGGAGUGCUCGAGCUGCCAAGAAGGGCAGCGCUGUCGAUGGGAACCGAGCACCGAGGCUCGAGGGAGCGGGGACAGGCGCAGGGGACAGCUGGUGGCAGGACCGCGGUCACCUCAGCCCAGGGCUGGACCUCUCCCCUCAGCACUGGCGUUAUUCCAUCGCGGCUGCGAUUCCUCGGCUGA
rnacentral:lncRNA from 1 species